UGGGGAAUAUUGGACAAUGGGCGCAAGCCUGAUCCAGCCAUGCCGCGUGAGUGAUGAAGGCCUUAGGGUUGUAAAGCUCUUUCGGCGGGGACGAUAAUGACGGUACCCGCAGAAGAAGCCCCGGCUAACUUCGUGCCAGCAGCCGCGGUAAUACGAAGGGGGCUAGCGUUGCUCGGAAUCACUGGGCGUAAAGGGCGCGUAGGCGGACAUUUAAGUCGGGGGUGAAAGCCCAGGGCUCAACCCUGGAAUUGCCUCCGAUACUGGGUGUCUCGAGACCGGAAGAGGUGAGUGGAACUGCGAGUGUAGAGGUGAAAUUCGUAGAUAUUCGCAAGAACACCAGUGGCGAAGGCGGCUCACUGGUCCGGUUCUGACGCUGAGGCGCGAAAAGCGUGGGGAGCAAACAGGAUUAGAUACUCUGGUAGUCCACGCCGUAAACGAUGGAUGCUAGCCGUUGGCAGGCUUGCCUGUCAGUGGCGCAGCUAACGCUUUAAGCAUCCCGCCUGGGGGAGUACGGCCGCAAGGUUAAAACUUAAAGG
rnacentral:rRNA from 1 species